CGACUGUCCGCAAAGCUUUCAGACACCUGAAAAACAAAGACAGAUCUCUACAUAUUUGAUUGUCGGAUGGUUUGUCGUUUUAAAGGAUAUUGUGCAGAACUUACUGUUGCACCAACUGAUACACUGACUUCCUCUCCCAUCGGGUGGGAACUGGCAUGGCCCAUGAUCUCUCCUGAGCCCCAGAGAGACUCCUCAGUGACUGGGUCCUCCUUAGGCCAAAGGCCUCCAUAGCAGUCCCUCUGACAGCAGCUGAAAUAACAAAACAUUUAAAUUUGAAAGAAUAUUCGACCCCAUACCUGAAGUGAAGAAGCAGCAGUCACCUGUGCAUCUCUGUCUCUGUGGCUCACUUGUGUUUUAG